CAGGUAGGUGGUCUCAUUUGUCUGGGGUGAAAGCCUUGAGCUUAACUCAAGAAGUGCCCCAGAAACGGUGAGACUAGAGUUCUGGAGAGGGUCGUGGAAUUCCCGGUGUAGCGGUGAAAUGCGUAAAGAUCGGGAGGAACACCAGAGGCGAAGGCGGCGACCUGGACAGAUACUGACACUCAACUGCGAAAGCGUGGGGAGCAAACA
rnacentral:rRNA from 1 species